CCUACGGGUGGCUGCAGUCGAGGAUCUUCGGCAAUGAGCGCAAGCUUGACCGAGCGACGCCGCGUGUGGGAUGAAGGCCUUCGGGUUGUAAACCACUGUCGAGGGGGAGGAAAUCUACCGGGGCACUCUCCGGUAGUUGACCUAUCCCUGGAGGAAGCACGGGCUAAGUUCGUGCCAGCAGCCGCGGUAAGACGAACCGUGCGAACGUUGUUCGGAAUCACUGGGCUUAAAGGGCGCGUAGGCGGUCUAUCAAGUCGGGGGUGAAAUCUUUCGGCUCAACCGGAAAAUUGCCUUCGAUACUGAUGGGCUAGAAGUGGGUAGGGGUUGCGGGAACAGCCAGUGGAGCGGUGAAAUGCGUUGAUAUUGGCUGGAACGCCGGUGCCGAAAGGGCGCAACUGGACCUUCCUUGACGCUGAGUGCGCGAAAGCUAGGGUAGCGAA
rnacentral:rRNA from 1 species